CCGCGUCACGAGUGGCAACCAUAUUCAUUGGGCCUAAAGCGUCCGUAGCCUGUUUGAUAAGUCUUUUGUGAAAUCGUUGAGCUCAACUUAACGUCGUGCAAGAGAUACUGUCAGACUUGGAAUUGGGAAGAGUUAGAGGUAUUCUGGGGGGAGCGGUAAAAUGCUAUAAUCCCUGGAGGACCACCAGUGGCGAAAGCGUCUAACUAGAACAACUUCGACGGUGAGGGACGAAAGCCAGGGGAGCAAAACGGAUUAGAGACCCGAGUAGUCC
rnacentral:rRNA from 1 species